CGCCUGCCCCAAAUGAAGAGCUUCAUUCUAAAAUGAGAUAUCUGCCGUUUGAAAAAAGAAAAGAAACGCAGAGAUAGAAACACCUGCUCUGACAAAAUGACGGAUAGCGGGGGGGAAAUAAAUCCUCGUGCUGAGACGUUCCGGGAUGAACGUGAGGUUGCUGUCGGAGUAAAACGAGAAGGCAGUUGCAGACUGAAGCUUCUCUGUCUCACAGAUAAAGUUCAGAUCGUAAAUAUUGUUUCAAAAUGGAUCCACAAGUCAGCUCCUCAUACUGGAUAAUUUAAAUGGCCAUCAGGACCCACGAGGCUUCUACCACAGCAGCAGUGCUCAUCACGGCAUCUCGUGCCUACUGAGGUGUCCCUGGGCAGCAAAUGCUCUUGACCCUGACCUCCGGGUAAUGUCUGUUUUUUCCAUGGCUUAAAGUGAGAAAGUACAUUAACUCAAGUACUGCUAAAUACUGUAUGUUUGACGUUAAACGUGGAAUAGACAGUAAGACGCAUUAUUGCAAAAUGUAGAAAAAGCGUGAUAGAUAAAUCCAUGGAUGUGGAUCCUCCUACUUAGAGGCUCUGACUAUGAGUUCAGACCUGUUUCUAUAUAAAAUGAAAAACUUUUGAGCUGCUGUGGAAGAAAUGCCCAAACUACAGAAGAGACCAGCAGUUAGUGUAGCAACAAUACGUGAAAUAAGAGACAGUGAUGUGUACCCGGCUGGCAAAUUUGAAGUGAAGUAUUGAAGCUACGGCUAGGAGCAAAGGAGGCUGCUGGUCGACAGAUGGCAGGUCGGAAAUACGGAGGGUGAUCGACACAACCAGAGCCUGGCUUGUCCACUAGUGACUAACUGUGAUAAAAAGUGAUGUUUGAUGAGCAAAUCACUUCAUACGAGGACAAGUCUUAAAAAUCAAGUAACUUAAGGAUUGGACUGAAAAUGAGAGAAAAAGCAGCCAAUUCCCAAAGGAAAACUUGGAACGACCUUCGGAAAGAGACGGCUCAAGACUUGCCAUAACUAAGAUGAGUGACAGGAGGGGCUGGUUGGUCUCCAGGAGGAAAUAAAGGCUGAUUGUCAGCCUGGGACCGAGGUCAACAGGACUCACACCACCGAUAUAGCUGCCCCUGACCCUCAGACACAUCAGUUAUCACCUGAGCUGGACCCCACUGCAACAGACACACUGCAGGAGGCCGCUCAGCUUCCACCAGGUGAUGCUGUGCUAAAGGAGGUCUGGCAGAGGAUCUUUUAUUUCAUUUUCAAAGUCUUAAACACGACAAAUAAAAAAAUGAACAAGUA